GUGUCAGCAGCCGCGGUAAUACGUAGGGUGCGAGCGUUAAUCGGAAUUACUGGGCGUAAAGCGUGCGUAGGCGGUUUCAUAAGCUUGAUGUGAAAGCCCCGGGCUUAACCUGGGAAUGGCACUGAGGACUGUGAAGCUUGAGUGCGGCAGAGGGAGGUGGAAUUCCACGUGUAGCAGUGAAAUGCGUAGAGAUGUGGAGGAACACCGAUGGCGAAGGCAGCCUCCUGGGCCGACACUGACGCUGAUGCACGAAAGCGUGGGGAGCAAACAGGAUUAGAAACCCUUGUAGUCC
rnacentral:rRNA from 1 species